rnacentral:tRNA from 1 species
GCGGGUUUGCGGGUUUUCAGGCCUUGAAUGGCAUUCAAGAGGUCAGCGGUUCGAUUCCGCUUAUCUCCA